rnacentral:lncRNA from 1 species
UGAGAUGCAGAAUGACACGUCUAAAUAUUACACCACCAAGAGGACCCUUUCUGGCUCCCGUGGUAGCUGCAGACGCAUGUCAGCCUGCUGGUCGUGGGAGGAGGCUGUGACGAGCUCAGUCCUUGAAGCAAGAGUGAUGCCCACCACCAGGCGAGUGGGUGGAGGUCCACAGCCACUGUGAGCACAGUGGUGGGUGGGGGUGAGGGGCCCUGGGGUGCCCAGGCGUCCACACGUGGACCCGAGAACAGCGGGGAUGACAUGCUCGGGAGCCCUGCUUGGGCGGCCUCCUGGGUGUUGAAGGCCCCAGGGCCUGAGCCUCUGCCCGCAGUUUCGGGUUAUGAGCCAUUGACACUGGUCGUGCCCUGGGCCCCAGCAGACGCUGGCUGAUGGGCUGGUUUCCGUGUGACAGCCUGUCCAGGUGACGGGCUGAGCCAGGCCCCCCAAGGCGCAUGUCCUCCUGAUGCGGCCAGAAGAGAAGUGUGGUGGUUCUCACUGCAUCCGGAGGACCACGCGCUCUUGUUAAUCCUGAAGGUCUCUACAGCCUAAAUCAACAGAAAGAGGUCGAGGGGAGGGUUUGGAGAUUGGAGACUGUUCAACACCUGGCCCUGGUCCUUCCAGCCUGGUGACCUCAGGCUGGCCACCUGCCCUCUCUGGACUGCAGUGUUGUCACCCGAGAGAGCAGAAAGAGGCCCAGUGAAGAGCCC